rnacentral:rRNA from 1 species
GGCGACCGGCGCACGGUGAGUAACACGUAUCCAACCUGCCGAUGACUCGGGGAUAGCCUUUCGAAAGAAAGAUUAAUACCCGAUGGCAUAGUUCUUCCGCAUGGUAGAACUAUUAAAGAAUUUCGGUCAUCGAUGGGGAUGCAUUCCAUUAGGUUGUUGGCGGGGUAACGGCCCACCAAGCCUUCGAUGGAUAGGGGUUCUGAGAGGAACGGUCCCCCACAUUGGAACUGAGACACGGUCCAAACUCCUACGGGAGGCAGCAUG